AUUGAACGCUGGCGGCAGGCCUAACACAUGCAAGUCGAGCGGAUGGAGGGAGCUUGCUCCUGGAUUCAGCGGCGGACGGGUGAGUAAUGCCUAGGAAUCUGCCUGGUAGUGGGGGAUAACGUCCGGAAACGGGCGCUAAUACCGCAUACGUCCUGAGGGAGAAAGUGGGGGAUCUUCGGACCUCACGCUAUCAGAUGAGCCUAGGUCGGAUUAGCUAGUUGGUGGGGUAAAGGCCUACCAAGGCGACGAUCCGUAACUGGUCUGAGAGGAUGAUCAGUCACACUGGAACUGAGACACGGUCCAGACUCCUACGGGAGGCAGCAGUGGGGAAUAUUGGACAAUGGGCGAAAGCCUGAUCCAGCCACGCCGCGUGUGUGAAGAAGGUCUUCGGAUUGUAAAGCACUUUAAGUUGGGAGGAAGGGCAGUAAGUUAAUACCUUGCUGUUUUGACGUUACCAACAGAAUAAGCACCGGCUAACUUCGUG
rnacentral:rRNA from 1 species